rnacentral:tRNA from 1 species
GUGCUUGAGAGGAAACGCUUUCCAUUCGGCCUGUCACGCCGGAGGUCGCGGGUUCGAGCCCCGUCACUCGCGCCA